rnacentral:rRNA from 1 species
UACAGAGGGUGCGAGCGUUUGUCCGGAAUCACUGGGCGUAAAGGGCGCGUAGGUGGCGACCCAAGUCGAUGGUGAAAGCUCGCCGCUCAACGGCGAGUCGGCCACCGAUACUGGGUUGCUGGAGCACUGUAGAGGCAGAUGGAAUUCCGGGUGUAGCGGUGGAAUGCGUAGAGAUCCGGAAGAACGACCGGUGGCGAAGGCGGUCUGCUGGGCAGUUGCUGGACACUG